rnacentral:rRNA from 1 species
GAUGAACGCUGGCGGCGUGCCUAAUACAUGCAAGUCGAGCGAACGGACGAGAAGCUUGCUUCUCUGAUGUUAGCGGCGGACGGGUGAGUAACACGUGGAUAACCUACCUAUAAGACUGGGAUAACUUCGGGAAACCGGAGCUAAUACCGGAUGAUAUUUUGAACCGCAUGGUUCAAAAGUGAAAGACGGUCUUGCUGUCACUUAUAGAUGGAUCCGCGCUGCAUUAGCUAGUUGGUAAGGUAACGGCUUACCAAGGCAACGAUGCAUAGCCGACCUGAGAGGAUGAUCGGCCACACUGGAACUGAGACACGGUCCAGACUCCUACGGGAGGCAGCAGUAGGGAAUCUUCCGCAAUGGGCGGAAGCCUGACGGAGCAACGCCGCGUGAGUGAUGAAGGUCUUCGGAUCGUAAAACUCUGUUAUUAGGGAAGAACAUAUGUGUAAGUAACUGUGCACAUCUUGACGGUACCUAAUCAGAAAGCCACGGCUAACUACGUG